rnacentral:tRNA from 1 species
CAGAACGGAGCUCGGUUUGGCAGAGCGCCCGGUUUGGGACCGGGGGGCCGCAGGUUCGAAUCCUGUCGUUCUGA